GGGCGGAUGUAGCCAAGUGGAUCAAGGCAG
rnacentral:tRNA from 3 species